rnacentral:lncRNA from 8 species
CGGAGGGAUACUUCUGAUGUUCCAUCCAUACAAAUAUAAUCUUAUUCUAGUUCUGUGGUUCCAUUAUCCAGGCACAAGAUAGAAAGUUGCCUGAAGGCUUGUGUAUCAUUAAAUUGCCUUUAUCUGAGAAAGCAAACCAUGGAUAACGCUCCUCGAGUAAGCCAUGAACGGGUAGACAUCCCCAUGAUUGUAUAGUAUCAUUCCGUGGUGGACCCAUAUUAGGGUGAUGAGAUUAUGCAGCCCAUAGACAGCUCCUUGAGGACAUCCCUGUGGCACCUGAAAUUUAGGGGAUCCUCCAGACAGACAGCAUCCCUGCACAGAAACAGGGCCUUUCCAGAGGGAGGGGAUCCCCACCACAGGGACCUUCCAGAGGGAGGAGAUCCCCACCACAGGGACCUUCCAGAGGGAGGGGAUCCCCACCACAGGGACCUUCCAGAGGGAGGAGAUCCCCACCACAGGGACCUUCCAGAGGGAGGGGAUCCCCACCACAGGGACCUUCAAGAGGGAGGGGUUUCUCCCCACAAAAACCAAUGA